GACGAACGCUGGCGGCGUGCUUAACACAUGCAAGUCGAACGGUGAAGCGCCUUCCUUUUUGGUGGGUGUGGAUGAGUGGCGAACGGGUGAGUAACACGUGAGUAACCUGCCCCCUUCUUCUGGAUAACCGCAUGAAAGUGUGGCUAAUACGGGAUAUUCUGGGUCUGUCGCAUGAUGGGUCUGGGAAAGAUAUUGUUUCGGUGGGGGAUGGGCUCGCGGCCUAUCAGCUUGUUGGUGGGGUGAUGGCCUACCAAGGCGGUGACGGGUAGCCGGCCUGAGAGGGUGGACGGCCACACUGGGACUGAGACACGGCGCAGACUCCUACGGGAGGCAGCAGGGGGGAAUAUUGCACAAUGGGCGCAAGCCUGAUGCAGCGACGCCGCGUGAGGGAUGGAGGCCUUCGGGUUGUGAACCUCUUUCGCCAGUGAAGCAGGCCUGCCUCGUUUGUGGGUGGGUUGACGGUAGCUGGAGAAGAAGCGCCGGCUAACUACGUG
rnacentral:rRNA from 1 species